rnacentral:misc_RNA from 1 species
GAUGAAGAACGUAGCGAAAUGCGAUAAGUAAUGCGAAUUGCAGAAUUCAGUGAAUCAUCGAAUCUUUGAACGCACAUUGCGCCCGCCAGUAUUCUGGCGGGCAUGCCUGUCUGAGCGUCGUUUCGACCCUCGCGCCCGGCUUCUGUCGGGGGCGGUGUUGGGGAUCGGCCACACCCUUCAGUGGGAGGCCGGCCCCUAAAUUCAGUGGCGACCACGCUGUAGCCUCCCCUGCGUAGUACUAAAACCACCUCGCAGGCGGAGAGCGGUGCGGCCAGCCGUAAAACCCCCCAACUUUUACAAGGUCGACCUCAGAUCAGGUAGGAAUACCCGCUGAACUUAAGCAUAUCAAUAAGCGGAGGA